rnacentral:rRNA from 1 species
UCCGUAGGUGAACCUGCGGAAGGAUCAUUACAGAAUGAAAAGUGCUUAACUGCAUUUUUUCUUACACAUGUGUUUUUCUUUUUUUGAAAACUUUGCUUUGGUAGGCCUUCUAUAUGGGGCCUGCCAGAGAUUAAACUCAACCAAAUUUUAUUUAAUGUCAACCGAUUAUUUAAUAGUCAAAACUUUCAACAACGGAUCUCUUGGUUCUCGCAUCGAUGAAGAACGCAGCGAAAUGCGAUAAGUAAUAUGAAUUGCAGAUAUUCGUGAAUCAUCGAAUCUUUGAACGCACAUUGCGCCCUUUGGUAUUCCAAAGGGCAUGCCUGUUUGAGCGUCAUUUCUCCCUCAAACCCUCGGGUUUGGUGUUGAGCGAUACGCUGGGUUUGCUUGAAAGAAAGGCGGAGUAUAAACUAAUGGAUAGGUUUUUUCCACUCAUUGGUACAAACUCCAAAACUUCUUCCAAAUUCGACCUCAAAUCAGGUAGGACUACCCGCUGAACUUAAGCAUAUCAAUAAGCGGAGGA